CCUACGGGAGGCAGCAGUGAGGAAUAUUGGUCAAUGGACGCAAGUCUGAACCAGCCAUGCCGCGUGCAGGAAGACGGCUCUAUGAGUUGUAAACUGCUUUUGUACGAGGGUAAACCCCGAUACGUGUAUCGGUUUGAAAGUAUCGUACGAAUAAGGAUCGGCUAACUCCGUGCCAGCAGCCGCGGUAAUACGGAGGAUUCAAGCGUUAUCCGGAUUUAUUGGGUUUAAAGGGUGCGUAGGCGGUCGGAUAAGUUAGAGGUGAAAUCCCGGGGCUCAACUGCGGAAUUGCCUCUGAUACUGGUGGGCUAGAGAAUAGUUGCGGUAGGCGGAAUGUAUGGUGUAGCGGUGAAAUGCAUAGAGAUCAUACAGAACACCGAUUGCGAAGGCAGCUUACCAAGCUACGUCUGACGUUGAGGCACGAAAGCGUGGGGAGCAAACAGGAUUAGAUACCCGAGUAGUC
rnacentral:rRNA from 1 species